rnacentral:rRNA from 1 species
UAAGGAAUAUUGCUCAAUGGGAGAAAUCCUGAAGCAGCAACGCCGCGUGGAGGAUGAAGGGUCUAUGACUUGUAAACUCCUGUAAAGAAGGAAAAAAUUCCCAUUAGAUGGGAGAUGAUGGUACUUCUGGAGUAAGCCCCGGCUAACUACGUGCCAGCAGCCGCGGUAAUACGUAGGGGGCAAGCGUUGUCCGGAUUUACUGGGUGUAAAGGGUGCUCAGGCGGAUUUGUAAGUCAGAGGUGAAAUCUUACAGCUUAACUGUGAAACUGCCUUUGAUACUGCAAGCCUAGAGUAUGGAAGAGAGUGAUGGAAUAUCUGGUGUAGCAGUGAAAGGCGUAGAUAUCAGAUAGAACACCAAUGGCGAAGGCAGUCACUUGGUCCAUUACUGACGCUAAAGCACGAAAGCGUGGGUAGCAAACA